ACUUGAAAAUGUACCUAUAUCAAAGAAAAGGAAAGUAACAGAUUCAUAUGAAAAUAGUGAAAGAUAGAACCCAUGCCUCAUAAUAAAAACAAGUGUCCUCCAGGUCAAAUGUCAGAUCGUCAUGGAAAUUGUAGAGAAGUGUACCGUAAAUAAGCAAUGGUUCGACUAAAGCAAGUUAGUGAUGUAAAGCAAAAAUUGGUAAACGAGAUAUUUAAACCUGCACGCAGGAAUUUUAAACGAAGACGUACUAUAAUUAAAGGAUUGGAUGAUUUAUGGCAAGUAGAUUUAGCAGAAAUGCAAAAUUUAUCUUAUCAUAAUAAUGGAUUUAAAUAUAUUUUAGUCGUAAUCGACUGUUUUUCUAAAUUUUUAUGGACCAGACCACUGAAAUCGAAAUCAGCUAAUGAGGUUAGCAGAGCUAUGGAAUCAAUACUGAAGAAUGAAAAAGAACGAAUACCAAAGAAUUUACAGUCAGAUCAAGGAAAGGAAUUUUAUAAUACCACUUUUCAGGAUUUGAUGAGACGUUAUAAUAUUAAUCACUAUAGUACGUACAGCGUUAAAAAAGCAGCAAUUGCUGAACGAGUUAUACGUACUUUAAAAUCCAAAAUUUAUCGAUAUUUUACGUUAUUUGCGACACAUAAAUGGAUAAAUAAAUUGCAAGAGAUAACCAAAAAUUAUAAUACUACAAUACAUCGAACAACAGGAAGGAAACCCACAGAGAUAAACGCUUCGAAUCAAGGAGACAUAACAGCAUAUGAUCAUCUAAAGAUUGUUGAUAAAAACAGAAAAAAAUUUAAAGUCGGAGAUUUCGUAAGAAUUAGCAAAGAAAAGAUGUUAUUUGAAAAAGGAUAUACACCCAAUUGGUCAACGGAAAUUUUUAAAAUCAGUAAGAUUAAUCUAACCAAUCCUGUAACAUUUCUGCUAGAAGAUAAAGAAGGUCAACCAAUCAAAGGAGCUUUUUAUAUUUGGGAAUUAUCAAAAACUCAAUAUCCUGACGUCUAUUUAGUUGAGAAAGUGAUUCGACGUAAAGGAACUAAAUUAUUUGUGAAAUGGUUAGGUUUACCAGAUAAUCAGAAUAGUUGGAUUGAAAUGAAAGAUAUUACCUAAUAAAUAAGAAAUAUAUAUACGAUAUAAUUAUUUAACGUCUAAUUUAGUUCCAUUUAAGAUGGCAACGAGUGUAGAACCUGUUAUAAAAAAAGUGCUGCAUUUUGAAAAAACCAUAAGCGAUAUUCGAUUACUAAUGAAACUGGAACUACUGAAAUUAGGACCGUGCCAGUUGAUGGAUAUAUUUCAUAAAUUACCGGAAACAUAUCAACAAGAUCAUGAUAUAAAGCUGAAUCUACCAUGUUUACAACAUUAUUAUAACAGUUUUGACGAAGAUCAGUUUGAUGGUCCUCCUUCAUCAAUAAAUAAUUGUGUUUCGUGUAUUUUAGAUGAUACAGGAAGCCAACAACAACAACAACAACAACAACAACAACAACAACAACAACAACAACAACCCACUGCGUUUCAAGUGUAAUGCCUCUUUUGAACUCAUCACUCAUCUUAUAUGUACAUCGUCUUCACUAGUGAAAGUCCUAACAACACAAGAUGGUCUCCUCUCUGGAAAAGUUUAUUUUUCAACGAUGUUGAUUACCAAUGGAAGAAGAUGAAUCUGGGUUAUUUGAGCAAUACUGCAAUAGAAAUAUUUAAAUAUGAAAAUGUUUCUAUAGCAAACUCUGUAAUAUAUUUUAAAUUAAGACUAGUUUUUACCAAUAGUAAUUAUAUUGAUACUGACUGGAAGAGACUUAUACUUAAUGAUCAUGAUGUAGUUUCAAUAAAAAAUUGUUUUAAUCAUGUUCCUACCUUUUUAGCAAUGUUUGGAAUUGUUUGUACAUGUUGGAUCGUUUUUAUGAUGUUCAUAGCGUUAGGUUUGGCUUAAAAACUGCAAUUAAAAAUUUAUUUAGGUGUAUGACUUUGUUAGUUUAAGUAUGUAGUUUGUUUUAUGUCUAAUAAAAAAUAAUAUUCAUUCUGAUUAUUUUUGUUAUCAUAUUUCCUGUCUAACGUUUUUUUCCUUAAAAACGUUAAAUUUUUAUCAGUUAUAUUUUGAAUUUUUUGAAUUUUUACGUAAGGAACCACAAUAUCCGGUUGCAAAGUUUAUGGAAUAUAAAAUCAUAUCGCAUCAAUGAUUAAUUCAUUUCUACUUCGACUGUCCGUGUAUGAAAGUAAUCAUGUUCAAGUGCUCUCAAUGCGAUAACAAGUUUACUCGCAAAGAUGCUUUAACACGUCAUGUAAAAAAACAUAGUGAUAAAUUAUCUAAACUCACUUGCACCGGAUGUAAAACGUCAUUUACGAGAUUUGAUAACUAUAGGCGUCAUAUUACAAAUUCAUCAUUGUGUUCAAUGGAUUCGGAUGAUAUGACUCCUAAAAAAGCCCGCCUGACAACUAGAACACCUUUACAAGAAGUUACUACUAACGCUCCAUCAUGUUCAUUUCAUCAAUUUUGUGAAAUAUGCAAUAGUCACUACAGAGGAUCCAGAUUAAACCAUUUACGUUCUUUAAAACAUAAAAGUGUCAUCUCCGCCAAAAUUAAUGAUGAUGAUGAUUUCGUUGAAGAAUAUCAAGUUGCCUUCAAAUCAAGAAUUACCUCAUACCGAUUGAAAAAUUCACAACUAGAUGACUUGGAAGUGUGCAAUUUUUUUGAAAGAAAUCAAGAUAAACUUAUCACUUUAAUAACUAGAAAACUGAGAGAAUUUAACCAACUUAAAAUUAAUUUCGAACUUUUUGCUAAAUAUAUUUUACCUUCUAAAGACAUUAUCGAAAUCAAAUCAUUCAACACUAAAAAUAUCAUCAUUUCAAUAUCGACAAAUAUUAAGGUAGAACUGGAAGAAAUAUGUGGCGUCAUAAAAAACAAAAUGAGUGAAUUCUUGGAAAAAGAUAGUGGUUGGAUUUUAAUGGAAAUUUUGUUUUUGGAACUUAAUAUCAACAAAUUCAAUCCACUACGUGCAUCAACAUAUAUACCAUUACCGAAGGACAUAGCGAAGCGGAGAGCGGUUAUCAAUAUUCAUAAUGAUGAUAAUGAAUGUUUCAAAUGGUCUGUUUUGGCACACCUUCAUUCAACUGAAGUAAAUGUUAAUCGACAUCGAGUUGAUGCUUAUCGUGAGUUUGAAGAGGAAUUAGAUUUUACAGAUAUUUCAUUUCCGGUUAAAUUAACUGAUAUUUUUAAAUUUGAAGCACUUAAUAAUAUUAGUGUAAAUGUCUAUGGAACAGAGCAGCGUUUUGAUCAUGAAAAAGGUAAAUGGGUAUCAGAUAUUAUAGGUCCCUUUUAUUUAACUUCUAAGAAACGAGACAUUCAUGUAAAUUUAUUACUUAUCGUAGACGAUGAAAGAAUGAUCAAACAUUACUGUCUGAUAAGCAACAUUUCUCGAUUAAUAAGUUCACAACUUUCCAAACAUAAUCAUGCUAAAUUUAUAUGUAACGGUUGUCUAUUAUUUUUUUCGAGUGAACAAAAAUUAGUUAAACAUCGUAAGUAUGCUUGUAAUGAAGUUGUCACUACAUUACCAACUUCUGAUCUGAUUAUAAAUAAAUUUGGUAAAGAAGUGCCUGGUAAUGAAUUAACAUUUCAAAAUUUUGAUAAAUCUCUUAAAGUUCCUUUUGUAUUUUAUUUCGAUUUUGAAUCUAUUUUAAAACCUUUACGCAAUGAUAAUUCAGCCGAUAAUAUCCGUACAAUUGUUACACAUUUACAUGAACCAUAUAGUUUCGGAUAUUACAUAAAAUGUGCAUAUAAUGAUAAUUUAUCAAUUUAUCGGACUUAUCGAGGAAAAGAUGCUCCUAAAAUUUUUGUGAAAUGGUUGCAAGAUGAUGUAAAUAGACUUUAUCACGAUCACCUCAAACAUAUCGUACCACUUGAAAUGACUCCGUUAGAUGAAUUGGUUUUUCAAAUAUCUACCCAUUGUCAUUUAUGUAAAGAACCUUUCAAAACAGAUUACGGAAGUCUAAAUUGUGAUAGAGUUCGUAAUCAUUGUCACUUAACAGGUGAAUUUUUAGGACCUGCACAUUCUAUUUGUAAUUUAAAUUAUAAGAUUCCAAAAUAUAUCCCUGUUUUUUGUCAUAAUUUAACUAAUUAUGAUAGUCAUUUAUUUAUUAAAGCUUUAGCAACAGAAAAGACCAUCAUUAAUUGCAUUGCUCAAACUAAAGAAAAGUAUAUUACAUUUUCAAAAAAAAUUUUAGUUGAUAAGGUCAUGAACACGACUACAAAUACAGUUGACAAUAUUUUUAUAACGCUUAGAUUCGUAGAUUCGUUCCGUUUCCUUUCUUUUUCAUUAGAUAAAUUAUCUCAGACUUUAACUUCUAAUGAAUGUCUAACCAUUCGGAAACACUUUCCGGACGAUAACCAAUUUAAUUUGAUAAGACAAAAAGGUGUUUUUCCAUAUUCAUAUUUGGAUUGUUUUAAUAAGUUAGAUGAUACCAGUUUACCAUUGAUUCAACAAUUUUAUGAUAAUCUUAAUAAAACUGAUAUCAGUGAACAUGAUUAUGAGCGAGCACAGGAAGUCUGGAAUCUAUUUGAUUGCAAAACGUUAGGUGAUUAUUCCGACAUUUAUUUAAAGUCUGAUGUUUUGUUACUAACAGACAUUUUUGAAAAUUUCAGAAAGGUUUGUCUCAAAAUUUAUGAACUAGAUCCAGCUCAUUACUUAACAGCACCUUCAUUAGGCUGGGAUGCUAUGUUAAAAAUGACUGGAAUUAAAUUCGAAUUGUUAACUGAUAUAGACAUGGUACAUUUCUUUCGAAAAUCUAUUAGAGGAGGACUUUGUCAAUGUUCAAAACGUAAAGCAGUAGCAAAUAAUAAGUUUUUAUCAAAUCAUGAUCCUUCUAAACCAACUUCUUUUAUAAUGUACCUUGAUGCAACCAACUUGUAUGGAGCAGCAAUGUCUGAAUAUUUACCUUAUAGCGGUUUUCGAUGGGAAGAUCCUAAUGAAUUCAAUGAUAACCUAAUUCUCAAUUUGACAGAUAACGCUGAUGUAGGUUAUAUAUUCGAAGUUGAUUUAGAAUAUCCUUCUGAAUUACAUAAUCUUCACAACGAUUUACCAUUUUGUCCUGAAAAAUUUAUUCCUCCCUCUAGUAAAACUGAGAAACUUUGCGCAACCUUGAACAAUAAAGUACACUAUGUUUUACAUUAUCGAAAUUUAAGACAAGCUAUACAAGGUGGUUUAAAAUUAAUUAAUAUUCACCGUGUUUUAAGUUUUAAUCAAUCACCAUGGUUGAAAACAUAUAUUGAUUUAAAUACAGAAAUGCGUAACAAAUCAAAAAACGCGUUAGAAAAAGAUGUAUUUAAAUUAAUGAAUAAUUCAGUUUUUGGUAAAACCAUGGAAUCAAUUGAUAAAAGAGUAAACGUGAAAUUGGUAACAUCAUGGAAUAAUAUAGGUAGAAAACCAGGUGCUGAAAGUUUAAUUGCACGACCAAAUUUUAAAAAUUCAUCUAUCUUUACACCAAAUUUUGUAGCUAUUCAAUUAGAGAACGAAAAAGUUUUCUACAAUAAACCUCUGUAUGUAGGUUUUACUAUUCUAGAUAUCAGUAAAACUAUUAUGUAUGAUUUUUAUUAUAAUUUCAUAAAACUUAAAUACGGUAACAAUGCAACGCUUUUGUAUACCGAUACUGAUAGUUUAGUAAUUGAAAUUUUUUGUGAAAAUAUUUAUGAUGAUAUUAAAUCUAAUAUAGAGCGUUUUGAUACUUCAAAUUAUAAAGCAGAAAAUAUUCAUGGAAUACCUGUAUCGUCUUCUGUCAUCGGGAAGAUGAAAGAUGAAUAUAAAGGACGUGUAAUAUCAGAAUUUUUAGGAACAGGUGCUAAAGCAUAUUGUGUGGAUGUUGAAGGUGAAUUAUCUAAAAAAGCUAAGGGUAUUAAACACAAUGUAAUUACAAGUGAAUUACAUAAAAUUGACUACCAAAACGCAGUUACUGUUCCAAACACUGAAAUUAUUAAAGAAAUGAAUAUCUUUCGUUCGAAGCUUCAUAACAUUUACACAGAAUUAAAGAAAAAAAUUGCUUUAUCUUUCAAAGAUGAUAAACGUUACAUCUUAAACAAUUCUGAAGGUAGAACAUUAUCUUGGGGUCAUAAAAAUAUUCUUCCUCAAACUCAGGAAUAAUAUUUAAUUUGUAUUGUAGUUAUUGUAUUAUAAUGUUUAUGUAUUAUAAUAUGUAUGUAUGUAUGUACUUAUAUUUAGAUGUAAUAAACAAUUAAAGUAAUUUAUUGUUUUUAUUAUUAUCCAUUAACCAAAUAGCUUAUGUGAAUUUGUUUCAGGUUUCCAAAAUAGACAGCACUAUCCACUCUACCUACCUGAGGUUCGACUCCCCAUGGAAGGAACAACAACAACAACAACUUUUUUUGCAUUAUAUUUUAAACAAAUAACAAAAUAAACUUGGUGCGCAACAGACAAGUUAGGCAAACAACAUUACAAAAAUAAAAAACUACAUAUA